rnacentral:lncRNA from 1 species
CGGGUUUGAAGCUCCACACUGUGCCGGUUGGAGGAUUUAGGCCAACAUAAAUUGGAGAAUCAAGAGUCAACAACUCUAUCAGGCAUCCAUGGCAGAAGAGAGAAUUUGGAAAUGGUCGGGUCAAAAGGGGGUUGUGGAGGAGCAAUAAAUGGUUUAUUGUACCUAAUUGAGUUAUUAUGUUUGCCCGGAUCUAAUAUUUAUUCUUCUUUUUUAACGGCGUCUGCGUAAAAAAAGCCAAUGAAAAGAUGUUGAAACUGAUAACACAAAGAAAGUUGACAAAGGGGAAAUCACAGUCGUUCUAAAACUUGACUUGCGUUGUGCCGGAUGUGCCCGUACAAUUUACUGAAGGUGUGGAAACUGUGAAAGCCGAUUGUGCGACCAACAAGCUGAUAAUAACAAGGAAAGUAGAUCCCGCUCAUAUCAAGGAGCGAGUCGAGGUGAGGACCAAGAAAACCGUAGAAAUGAUACCUCCUAAACCCAAAAAGGAUGAGGGGGUGUAACGAAAGACGAUGAGAAGCCACCGGUUGCAAAAUCUAACAACGAGAAACCCCAAAGAGGUAUCAUAGAUCAUUUGAGUAAAGGACAUGGAUUUUAGCUCACUAUUUUUGUAUUUUUAAUAAUUAGUAUGAAUUUUAUUUUAUUUUUUGUUAUUUUUUAUUUUCACAUCCCUAUCGUAUGUAUAUACGUGUAACUUUGUUUUUCUAAUGCCCUUCUAUGAAGGGGUGUCUUUGGAUAUUAGCUUAAAUGUAUAAGUUACCUUUUAUUUU